UAAUUAAAGUAUUGAAAAAUAAAUUCGUAAAUGCAAUCUUUAUUCAUACUACCAAUUACUUAUUUCAUAAAUCGCCUAUUGUACCCUUACAACACAUCUUAUAUAAGAUUGUCUUACGAUGAGACGGCUUUAAUAGAAUUUAAUAGGUCAAAGCUAAAAAUAAAACCCAUUUUACCUCAAUCUAAACCGACAUACCCUUACUCCCUCAUACAAAACCCACGGCACCCCUUCCUUCCCUCUCUUUCUCUCAUCUCUUCUCUCUCUCGCUUCCCUCUCCCUCACGGCGCAGAAGCCCAGCACCACCAGCCACACCUUCGCUCCUCCAUAACAAGCAGCAGUCGGCUGCUUCGUGAGCCACCAGCAGAAGCAGCAGACGCACGUGGUGGUUCCUCCACCAUCCAACGUGGUUCCUUGGUCUCUACCACCACAUCAACCACUUGUUCUUCACCCCUUUAAUAGUUUCACCUUUAGUUUAGUUGAUGAAUUGAAGUUCAAGAUUGCAAGGUCCUUCAAUGGUGGUUGAGGGUCUAUCUCUUACAGGGGGUAGAUCCACUUUCAGGUUGCCAUCUUUAGUGCAGAUGGAUGUGCUGCUCAUUUAUGUGUCAUGUGUUGCGAUAGCGAGGACAUCGUUUUCGGAAGGUUAACUUAUAAUGACAUUUUGACAAAUCAUGUCUUUUUAAAUAAAAAAUAGAUAUUUUAUAAUGUAUUAAUUUAGUUUAUAACUGGGUUGUAAGUAAUUGUAUUACAGUUUUGUUAAGUUUUUAAAUACUCUGAUAUUGGUUGCUGUGGCUAUCGAGCCACAGGUCGGAUUCA